rnacentral:rRNA from 1 species
GACGAACGCUGGCGGCGUGCUUAACACAUGCAAGUCGAACGGAAAGGCCCUUCGGGGUACUCGAGUGGCGAACGGGUGAGUAACACGUGGGUGAUCUGCCCUGCACUUUGGGAUAAGCCUGGGAAACUGGGUCUAAUACCGAAUAGGACCACGCGCUUCAUGGUGUGUGGGGGAAAGCUUUUGCGGUGUGGGAUGGGCCCGCGGCCGAUCAGCUUGUUGGUGGGGGAUUGGCCGACCAAGGCGACGACGGGUAGCCGGCUUGGGAGGGUGACGGGCCCCACGGGGAUUGAGUUACGGCCCAGACUCCACCGGGGGGCAGCAGUGGGAAUUAUUGCACAAUGGGCGCAAGCCUGAUGCAGCGACGCCGCGUGGGGGAGGACGGCCUUCGGGUUGUAAACCUCUUUCACCAGGGACGAAGCGUAAGUGACGGUACCGGGAGAAGAAGCACCGGCCAACUACGU